AUUGAACGCUGGCGGCAUGCCUUACACAUGCAAGUCGAACGGCAGCACGGGAGCAAUCCUGGUGGCGAGUGGCGAACGGGUGAGUAAAGUAUCGGAACGUGCCCAGUCGUGGGGGAUAACGUAGCGAAAGUUACGCUAAUACCGCAUACGACCUAUGGAUGACAGCGGGGGAUCGCAAGACCUCGCGCGAUGGGAGCGGCCGAUAUCAGAUUAGGUAGUUGGUGGGGUAAAGGCUCACCAAGCCGACGAUCUGUAGCUGGGCUGAGAGGACGACCAGCCACACUGGGACUGAGACACGGCCCAGACUCCUACGGGAGGCAGCAGUGGGGAAUUUUGGACAAUGGGCGCAAGCCUGAUCCAGCCAUGCCGCGUGCAGGAUGAAGGCCUUCGGGUUGUAAACUGCUUUUGUACGGAACGAAAAGGUUUGGCCUAAUAAGCUGAGCUCAUGACGGUACCGUAAGAAUAAGCACCGGCUAACUACGUGCCAGCCGCCGCAGUAAUAC
rnacentral:rRNA from 1 species